AUUCAGCCCCAGGAAAGCAAGCCUCAAGCUUGCCCAACUGGGCAGAGGGAUCCUCCUCAGAUCAUCCCUGGUUGAGCUCCUCUGUGUGUGGCUGAGAGUCCUGCCCCAGGCUGUAAGCCUUGCAGAUUUGUCACCGGCCCCCUUGUCAUCCUUCAGCCGCGAUCCACUUGAGCAGGACGCUUUGCAGAGCCAAGCAAAACAGCCUGCGUGGGACCUCCCCAAGAAAAGCCAGACCUGCUCGCUCGCCCCGACGGCAACGUGCGCCGGAGCCCAUCCGUCCUGCCUGACAGCAGCAGCAGCAGCUCCGAAAAGCAGCCCUGGGAGAAAAAAAUGUCCUGCAAAAUAGCCUGAAAAAACCUGAAUUCUUACAUGUUGCCGCCUCCAGGAUAAAUGAGAUAAGGUCUUGGGCUCUGAUUGGGUAGGGGAAAUGCUCUUUUCCCUGGGGAGCUUCGCAGUUAUUCAUCAGCAGGGGGAGGAAGGAGCCCCAAGUGCCACGAGGGUCCCAAUGGGAUGUGUUCUGGCGCCCCUGGAACUGGGACACACCCCCCCUGUCGCCAAGUGCUGGCAGCUGCCAGCCCACCCCAGGGCCCUGCUUGCUGGUAGCCUCAUCCAGGGCAAGCUGGGACUGGGAACCCUGGACCCAUGGCCCUGCAGAGAGCCCGAGCAGGGCAUGGACUGGUGGGAAUGGGAAAGUGCUGGCAGCAGCUUCGGGCUGCUCUUGCCUCAUGGAGUGACCAGAGGCUGGUCAUGCCCUUCUUUCUCCAUUGCUUAAAAGAGGGGUGGAUUUGCACCUCUGGCACUGCCACCCCCAGUGAAUUGGGAGUUCCUUUAGUUUCAUGUGCUGUGCAGAAAGCUGUACAGAGCCUCACAGCAGGGCUGCCACACUUGGCUCUGCCCUUCCCCUCUCCCACCACCCAGCCUGUGUGGACAUCUCAGGGGCUGCAGAGGGGCUCCCUGCCCACCACACAACACAGCACAA